rnacentral:rRNA from 1 species
AGAAUCAACGCUGGCGGCGUGCCUAACACAUGCAAGUCGAACGAGAAAGUGGAGCAAUCCAUUAGUAAAGUGGCGCACGGGUGAGUAACACGUGACUAACCUACCCUUGAGUGGGGGAUAACCUAGGGAAACCUGGGCUAAUACCGCAUAAUACCUUCGGGUCAAAGGAGCAAUUCGCUUAAGGAGGGGGUCGCGGCCGAUUAGUUAGUUGGCGGGGUAAUGGCCCACCAAGACGAUGAUCGGUAUCCGGCCUGAGAGGGCGCACGGACACACUGGAACUGAAACACGGUCCAGACUCCUACGGGAGGCAGCAGUGGGGAAUUUUGCGCAAUGGGGGAAACCCUGACGCAGCAACGCCGCGUGGAGGAUGAAGCCCCUUGGGCGUAAACUCCUUUCGAUCGGGACGAUUAUGACGGUACCGGAAGAAGAAGCCCCGGCUAACUUCGUGCCAGCAGCCGC